AUUUGCUCUUACAUAUUGGAAUUUUGGGUGGAGAGGAGCACUGAAUAUUACCUCAGAAUCACGGCUUAGCCAUGGGAAUGAAGUGCAGUUCAAUUGCAACAACAUUGUAGUCCCCCAUGAAGCCUGUUUUUUGUCAGUUUAAGAUCCUUUGAACCUCAUGACCUUUCCUUAUACAUACCAAAGUGACAUGUAAACAUGCAUUGUAUUCAGUUUUGGCUGAAGUGAUUUUCUUUCUUAAAUGCUGUAGUGAUAAGUAUACACAGCUGUAUUAAAUGCCCGGGAUUCUUUUCCUUUCUGUAGAGCAGUGGCUCAAAAUGAGUGUUAUCAUUGGCAUUAGUGAAACUACUGCUAUGUUUUGUAUAUAUCUGCAGUAACAGAAUAAGCUUCAUGUAAUAAAGUGAAUGAGUUUUCAGUACUGCUACUAUUCUUACAUGAAGAUAUACUGCAGUGUGCCAAUUAAUGCUAUUUUUAAAGGCUAUUUUGAGCAAGGAGUUGGACUAGAGAUCUACUGAAGUCCUUACAACUCCAGCUGUUGUCUAAUAAGUGUUGUUUCUGUGAGCGUUGAGGAGCAAUUUUUAAAAAUCAGUGAAAUACAUUUUUGCAUUUGUCAUACUAUUUUGAAAAGGUGUAGAAAUUUAAAAAUAUGAACUUCUAAAAAAAAUAAAGCCUCAGGCAUAGUAAAUAUUCUACACAUUUCAGUUUUACAUGCCAGAGUGUGGGAAACUAUCUACAUGACAAUGGGCAUGUUUACUUGGACGUGCUGGACUCUUGAGUUGUCCUUGAUGCCUUGGAACAAGUAACUUGCAAGAACAUCAGGAAGCAAAGUGCUGGGAAAAGCAGAAACUUUGAAACAGCAAAAGCAUACAGAGACUUGCUCAAGCCAACCAAUCAAGUAACGCCAUGUUGGAGCACGCUUUUCACAAAUGCAUAAAAGUCUGAUUGUUCUAUCAAUAAACGAAUCACUUGCUUAACCAUAUUGGUAUUUUCUCGUGAUCUCCGGCGUGUGUGCUGCGACACCAGAGAACCUGUUUUUCAAGCUUUGGUUUUUUUCACCAAAUUGCUUAAAACCUCUGUGAAAAUUCAGUCUCUCUCUCAGUUCCUGAAAUGUGGGAAGGAUGACCACACUCAGUGUAAGAAACGCUGGUUUAGAUUUUUUGAGUACGUGAGUAUAUGCUAUUGCACUCUAACACAGAGAGCCAUCGUUUUUGAAAGUGCCAACAACUGAAGAUUGUGAGAACGACUUGAUUUCUAUACCUUGAGAAUUAAGGUUGCAUACCUAGACUCCUAUAUCUUGGUUUAGAAGCUGAACAUUAGAAAUCAAUCUUGCAUGUCUUUGCCAGAUUGUUUAUCUAAAAUUGAAACUUACUCUUAUGAGGAAAGUGUCCAUCUUUUCGCUGGGCUUUGCAAAUUCAUGCUAUUGAUGAAAGGCAAACGUGCAAUUUAAAUGCAUUUUUUCUUAGAUUGAGAUUAGCAGGGGCAUGCCAUUAUCAAACAAUGUCACGAGUAUAAAAUUAAAGUCAUAAUUUUAAAGAAGGCAAACAUUUUCUCAAUCUACUGCUGUAGUGAACUUUUGUGCUCUCCUUUCCCUUACCCUCCUUUCUGUUUUUCCUUUCUCUCUCUACUUUUCACAAUAGUAAAUUCCAUUUCACUGAUAUUCUACGUCUAAUAUUGUGAAUCCAGCAGAAUUCUGCAAGCAAAACAUGACAGAAU
ensembl:lncRNA